rnacentral:ncRNA from 1 species
AAAAGACUUAGUCCUAACCUUACCGUUAGUUUUUGCUAGAUCUAUACAUGCAAGUAUCCGCGUUCCAGUGUAAAUGCCCCCGGCGCUCUUCACUGCCGGCAGGAGCGGGCAUCAGGCACACCCCAAUCGUAGCCCAAGACGCCUUGCCUAGCCACACCCCCACGGGUUUUCAGCAGUAACUAGUAUUAAGCAAUGAGUGCAAACUUGACUUAGUCAUAGCAACAUCCAGGGUCGGUAAAUCUUGUGCCAGCCACCGCGGUCAUACAAGAGACCCAAAUUAACGUUAUGCGGCGUAAAGAGUGGUCACAUGUUAUCAAAGUAGCUAAAAUUAAAAUGCAUCUGAGCUGUCAUAAGCCAAAGAUGCCCAUAAGGCCUCCACACCCAAAGAAGAUUUUAGAACCACGAUUAAUUGAAAUCCACGAAAGCCAGGGCCCAAACUGGGAUUAGAUACCCCACUAUGCCUGGCCCUAAAUAUUGAUGCUUCACACUACCUUAGCAUCCGCCUGGGAACUACGAGCACAAACGCUUAAAACCCUAAGGACUUGGCGGUGCCCUAAACCCACCUAGAGGAGCCUGUUCUGUAAUCGAUGAUCCACGAUAUACCUAACCACUUCUUGCCAAAACAGCCUAUAUACCGCCGUCGCCAGCUCACCCUUUCUGACGGACCAACAGUGAGCGCAAUAGUCUACCCCACUAAUAAGACAGGUCAAGGUAUAGCCUAUGGAGUGGGAGCAAUGGGCUACAUUUUCUAGAUUAGAACAUUUACGGAAGGGGGCAUGAAACUGCCCUCGGAAGGCGGAUUUAGCAGUAAAGUGGGAUAAUCAAGCCCUCUUUAAGCCGGCCCUGGGGCACGUACAUAUCGCCCGUCACCCUCCUCAAAAGCGCCUAACCCAACAAUAAACUAAAAAGCUAUUCAGCCAAAGAGGAGGUAAGUCGUAACAAGGUAAGUGUACCGGAAGGUGCACUUAGAUUACC